CUUGAACGCUGGCGGCAGGCCUAACACAUGCAAGUCGAACGGUACCACAGAGAGCUUGCUCUCGGGUGACGAGUGGCGGACGGGUGAGUAAUGUCUGGGAAACUGCCUGAUGGAGGGGGCUAACUACUGGAAACGGUAGCUAAUACCGCAUAACGUCGCAAGACCAAAGAGGGGGAACUUCGGGCCUCUUGCCAUCAGAUGUGACCAGAUGGGAUUAGCUAGGAGUUGGGGUAACGGCUCACCUAGGCGACGAACCCUAGCUGGUCGGAGAGGAUGACCAGCCACACUGGAACUGAGACACGGUCCAGACUCCUACGGGAGGCAGCAGUGGGGAAUAUUGCACAAUGGGCGCAAGCCUGAUGCAGCCAUGCCGCGUGUAUGAAGAAGGCCUUCGGGUUGUAAAGUACUUUCAGCGGGGAGGAAGGCGAUAAGGUUAAUAACCUUGUCGAUUGACGUUACCCGCAGAAGAAGCACCGGCUAACUCCGUGCCAGCCGCCGCAGUAA
rnacentral:rRNA from 1 species